rnacentral:rRNA from 1 species
ACGACGCUGGCGGCGUGCCUAACACAUGCAAGUCGAGCGAUGAAGCUUCUUCGGAAGUGGAUUAGCGGCGGACGGGUGAGUAACACGUGGGUAACCUGCCUCAUAGUGGGGAAUAGCCUUUCGAAAGGAAGAUUAAUACCGCAUAAGAUUGUAGCUUCGCAUGAAGUAGCAAUUAAAGGAUUUAUUCGCUAUGAGAUGGACCCGCGGCGCAUUAGCUAGUUGGUGAGGUAACGGCCCACCAAGGCGACGAUGCGUAGCCGACCUGAGAGGGUGAUCGGCCACAUUGGAACUGAGACACGGUCCAGACUCCUACGGGAGGCAGCAGUGGGGAAUAUUGCACAAUGGGGGAAACCCUGAUGCAGCAACGCCGCGUGAGUGAUGACGGUCUUCGGAUUGUAAAGCUCUGUCUUUAGGGACGAUAAUGACGGUACCUAAGGAGGAAGCCACGGCUAACUACGUG